UACGAAGGGGGCUAGCGUUGCUCGGAAUCACUGGGCGUAAAGGGUGCGUAGGCGGGUCUUUAAGUCAGGGGUGAAAUCCUGGAGCUCAACUCCAGAACUGCCUUUGAUACUGAGAAGCUUGAGUCCGGGAGAGGUGAGUGGAACUGCGAGUGUAGAGGUGAAAUUCGUAGAUAUUCGCAAGAACACCAGUGGCGAAGGCGGCUAACUGGUCCGGUACUGACGCUGAGGUGCGAAAGCGUGGGGAGCAAACAGG
rnacentral:rRNA from 1 species